rnacentral:lncRNA from 1 species
GUUCGUCCGUCCGUCUGUGCGUCCGUUCGUCCGUCCGUCUGUGCGUCCGUUCGUCCGUCCGUUCGCUUCAGGUUAAAGUUUUUGGUCAAGGUAGUUUUUGAAGAAGUUGAAGUCUAAUCAACUUGAAACUUAGUACACAUGUUCCCUAUGAUAUGAUCUUUCUAAUUUUAAUUCCAAAUUAAAGUUUUGAUCCCAAUUUCACGGUCCACUGAACAUAGAAAAUGAUAGUGCGAGUGGGGC